GUAUGCACAGCAGGGCGCACGGAUAGACGCAGACUCAUAACGGGUCUCCAACUUUUGUCAUGUGAAGGCCUGCCCUAACACACCAAGGUGGACCAAAGACGCUGACAAAGAGGGUCAUACACUGGACAGGAGAGUUGUCCACCGAAGUCCACUGUCACCCCAUUUGCCUGGCGUGAGCUUUGACCAAUCAAAACGGUGCUCACACGAUGGACUACCCUGCUGGAGGUUUCACACAUGACGCCAUUGACUGGUCCACAUCCCACUACAGGAAAGUCAGGACAAUGCUCCGCGCCACACAGCUUGGUCAAUUUUAGUGUCUGGGUGGAGGAACACCAGAUCAAGACCCUGUCAUGGCCAGCCCAAUCUCCAGGCCUGAGUCCCAUGAAAUGUGAUCAAAAUGAAGAGAGGUGAUCACAAGCCAUCAGACAAACUCAGCAACUUGAAUCUUUGCACUGUGAGUGGAAUUAAGUCAUCCAAGAAUGAUGUGAAGGACUUGUAGAGAGCAUGCAUGCAUGAAAGCAGUCAUUAAAAUCCAGGGUUAUUCUUCCAAAUAUUGAUUUCUGAACUUCUCCUUAGUUGAUACAUUACUAUUAAUUUGUUUUUGUUUAGUUUGCACUUUUUAAGGUCUGAAACAUUGCAUCUUUUAUGUCAUUUUGACCAUUUGUAACUCUCUGCAAAUAAAUGCUCUAAAUGACAAUAUUUUUAAUUCGGAAUUCAGAGGAAAUCGCAGUAGUUUCUACAAUGAAACUGAAUUCUUCAAACUUCAUUUUACUGAAACACAUGCCUAUCAGAAGUAAAACCAGAAAAAAAUGUCAUUUUUGAGGUGGUCUCAAUUUUUCUGCGGCUGUAUACACACACAGACACAUAUGUGACGGAGGUCAUCUUGCACCUGUUCACCCCCCUCGGGGAUCGAACGUGCGACCUCGUCAACUACAACGGUUCGGCAAUGGGAGACACAGUACGAUACCGCUGGGCCAAGAGACUAGUCUCUCGGCCCAACGGCACGAGACUGUAUGAAGCUAUCGGAGGGAGGUUUACCAACGUUCCACGCCAACUCUGUGCUAGUUAGCCUCCGUUACACUCUCCCCCUUAAACCUCACUCCCAUCCGGGUCACGGCACCACUGUGACGGAGGUCAUCUUGCACCUGUUCACCCCCCUCGGGGAUCGAACGUGCGACCUCGUCAACUACAACGGUUCGGCAAUGGGAGACACAGUACGAUACCGCUGGGCCAAGAGACUAGUCCCUCGGCCCAACGGCACGAGACUGUAUGAAGCUAUCGGAGGGAGGUUUACCAACGUUCCACGCCAACU